GCGGAUGUAGCCAAGGGGAU
rnacentral:tRNA from 1 species